UACGAAGGGGGCUAGCGUUGCUCGGAAUCACUGGGCGUAAAGGGUGCGUAGGCGGGUCCUUAAGUCAGGGGUGAAAUCCUGGAGCUCAACUCCAGAACUGCCUUUGAUACUGAAGAUCUUGAGUUCGGGAGAGGUGAGUGGAACUGCGAGUGUAGAGGUGAAAUUCGUAGAUAUUCGCAAGAACACCAGUGGCGAAGGCGGCUCACUGGCCCGACACUGACGCUGAUGCACGAAAGCGUGGGGAGCAAACAGG
rnacentral:rRNA from 1 species